rnacentral:rRNA from 1 species
AUUGAACGCUGGCGGCAGGCCUAACACAUGCAAGUCGAGCGAGCGGCGGACGGGUGAGUAAUGUAUGGGGACUGCCCGAUAGAGGGGGAUAACUACUGGAAACGGUGGCUAAUACCGCAUACUAUCGGAUAACCCAUAUGGGAUUCGCUAGUAGGUGGGGUAAAGGCUCACCUAGGCGACGAUCGCUAGCGGGCCUGAGGGGAUGAUCAGCCACACUGGGACGGGGACACGGCCCAGACUCCUACGGAGGCAGCAGUGGGGAAUUUUGCCCAAUGGGCGAAAGCCUGAUGCAGCCAUGCCGCGUGUAGGAAGAGGGCCUUAGGGUUGUAAAGUACUUUCAGCGGGGAGGCGUUACCCGCAGAAGAAGCACCGGCUAACUCCGUGCCAGCAGCCGCGGUAAUUC